AGAGUUUGAUCCUGGCUCAGAACGAACGCUGGCGGCAUGCCUAACACAUGCAAGUCGAACGAAGGCUUCGGCCUUAGUGGCGCACGGGUGCGUAACGCGUGGGAACCUGCCCCUCGGUUCGGAAUAACACAGAGAAAUUUGUGCUAAUACCGGAUGAUGACUUCGGUCCAAAGAUUUAUCGCCGAGGGAUGGGCCCGCGUAGGAUUAGCUAGUUGGUGGGGUAAAGGCCUACCAAGGCGACGAUCCUUAGCUGGUCUGAGAGGAUGAUCAGCCACACUGGGACUGAGACACGGCCCAGACUCCUACGGGAGGCAGCAGUGGGGAAUAUUGGACAAUGGGCGAAAGCCUGAUCCAGCAAUGCCGCGUGAGUGAUGAAGGCCUUAGGGUUGUAAAGCUCUUUUACCAGGGAUGAUAAUGACAGUACCUGGAGAAUAAGCUCCGGCUAACUCCGUGCCAGCAGCCGCGGUAAUACGGAGGGAGCUAGCGUUGUUCGGAAUUACUG
rnacentral:rRNA from 1 species